rnacentral:snRNA from 1 species
CCCGCUUCUCGGCCUUUUGGCUAAGAUCAAGUGUAGUAUCUGUUCCUGGGGGGGGGGGGGUUGGCACCCUAGCUAAGGGCUGUCAAUACCGGGACCCUCC